rnacentral:rRNA from 1 species
UACCAGACUCCUACGGGAGGCAGCAGUGGGGAAUAUUGGACAAUGGGGGGAACCCUGAUCCAGCGACGCCACGUGAGUGAAGAAGUAUUUCGGCAUGUAAAGCUCUAUCAGCAGGGAAGAAAGAAAUGACGGUACCUGACUAAGAAGCCCCGGCUAACUACGUGCCGGCAGCCGCGGUAAUACGUAGGGGGCAAGCGUUAUCCGGAUUUACUGGGUGUAAAGGGAGCGUAGGCGGCAGUGCAAGUCUGAAGUGAAAGGCGGGGGCCCAACCCCCGAACUGCUUUGGAAACUGUGCUGCUGGAGUGCAGGAGAGGCAAGUGGAAUUCCUAGUGUAGCGGUGAAAUGCGUAGAUAUUAGGAGGAACACCAGUGGCGAAGGCGACUUUCUGGACUGUACCUGACGCUGAGGCGCGAAAGCGUGGGUAGCGAACGGGAUUAGAUACCCCAGUA